rnacentral:rRNA from 1 species
CUUUACUGUAGCUUUGCAUUGGACUUUGACGGGACUUGUGUAGGAUAGGUGGGAGGCGCUGAGACCAGGCCGCUAGUUCUGGUGGAGCCGUCCUUGAAAUACCACCCUGGUGUCGUUGAGGUUCUAACCUAGGUCCAUCAUCUGGAUCGGGGACCGUGCAUGGUAGGCAGUUUGACUGGGGCGGUCUCCUCCCAAAAGGUAACGGAGGAGUACGAAGGUCUUCUAGGUACGGUCAGACAUCGUACUGAUAGUGCAAUGGCAAAAGAAGGCUUGACUGCGAGACCGACAAGUCGAGCAGGUGCGAAAGCAGGUCAUAGUGAUCCGGUGGUUCUGUAUGGAAGGGCCAUCGCUCAACGGAUAAAAGGUA